GCGGAGCCCGCCCAGCGCCUUUCCCGCCUCCAGCCCGGGGCGCGCGAACCGCUGCGCGCGCGGGAGGUUCUCGCUCCCCCUCACCCCUUCCCUGUGAGGCGAUGAGAAGGAGCCUGGCCCCCAGCCAGCUGGCCAAGAGGAAGGCGGGCGACGAGGAGGAGGAGGAGGAAGAGGAGGCAGACGAGGAGGCAGACCGGCAUCCCCCGACGACUCGGAAGAGACAGAAGCCUGUCAGUGAGACGGAGAGUGGAGAAUGUUACAGGUCACCUUUCCGGAAACCCUUGGCUCAGUUGACCAAUAGACCUCACUGCCUGGAUAGCAGUCAACAUGAGGCUUUUAUCCGCAGCAUUUUGUCCAAACCCUUCAAAGUCCCCAUUCCAAAUUAUAAAGGGCCACUGGGCUUGCGUGCACUGGGUAUCAAACGGGCAGGGCUGAGGAGUCCACUCCACGACCCUUUUGAGGAAGGAGCUCUGGUUCUGUACGAGCCCCCGCUGCUGAGUGCCCACGACCAGCUGAAAAUAGACAAGGACAAAGCACCUGUCCAUGUUGUGGUGGAUCCUGUCCUCAGCCGUGUUUUACGGCCCCAUCAGAGAGAAGGAGUGAAAUUCCUCUGGGACUGUGUGACGAGCCGGCGGAUCCCUGGGAGUCAUGGCUGUAUCAUGGCAGAUGAAAUGGGCCUGGGCAAAACCCUGCAGUGCAUCACACUCAUGUGGACACUUCUCCGGCAAAGUCCAGACUGCAAGCCGGAAAUUGAGAAAGCCAUGGUGGUGUCUCCCUCCAGCCUGGUGAGAAACUGGUACAAUGAAGUAGAGAAAUGGCUGGGGGGAAGGAUCCAGCCACUGGCCAUUGAUGGAGGCUCCAAAGAAGAGAUUGACCGUAAACUAGUUGGCUUUAUGAACCAGCGUGGCCUACGAGUGCCUUCACCCAUCCUGAUCAUCUCCUAUGAGACCUUCCGACUCCAUGCUGAGGCAUUACAGAAGGGCAGUGUUGGGCUGGUCAUAUGUGAUGAGGGCCAUAGACUGAAGAACUCUGAAAACCAAACAUACCAGGCUCUCAACAGCUUAAAUACACCUCGACGAGUCCUUAUCUCAGGCACCCCCAUUCAGAACGACCUGCUUGAAUAUUUCAGUCUGGUGCACUUCGUCAAUUCAGGCAUCCUAGGGACUGCACAGGAAUUUAAAAGACAUUUUGAAAUUCCCAUCUUGAAAGGCAGAGAUGCGGAUGCAAGUGAAGCUGAGCGACACAAAGGAGAAGAGAGGCUUAAAGAGCUGAUCAGCAUUGUGAACAGGUGUCUAAUCCGAAGAACUUCAGACAUCCUGUCCAAAUACCUGCCAGUGAAGAUCGAGCAGGUGGUCUGCUGCAGACUGACACCUCUGCAGGCUGAGCUGUACAAGAACUUCCUGAAGCAAGCCAAGCCAGUGGAAGAGCUGAAGGAGGGCAAAAUCAGUGUGUCAUCUCUCUCUUCCAUCACUUCCUUGAAGAAGCUCUGCAAUCACCCUGCUCUUAUCCAUGAUAAGUGUGUAGAAGAGGAAGAAGGUUUUAUGGGAGUCCUGGACUUGUUCCCUGCCGGCUACAGCACCAAAUCUGUGGAGCCCCAGCUUUCAGGAAAGAUGCUGGUUUUGGACUACAUCCUUGCUGUUACAAAAAGCACCAGCAAUGACAAGGUGGUCUUAGUGUCUAACUACACUCAGACACUGGACCUAUUUGAAAAGCUCUGCAGGAACAGAAGGUAUUUAUAUGUUCGGCUGGAUGGCACCAUGUCCAUUAAAAAGAGAGCAAAGAUUGUGGAGCGAUUCAACAGCCCCUCGAGCCCUGAGUUUAUCUUCAUGUUAAGCAGCAAAGCAGGUGGCUGUGGUUUGAAUUUAAUUGGGGCUAACAGACUGGUUAUGUUCGACCCAGACUGGAAUCCAGCUAAUGAUGAGCAGGCCAUGGCUCGUGUGUGGCGGGAUGGCCAGAAGAAGACAUGCUAUAUCUAUCGACUGCUUUCAACUGGGACCAUAGAGGAGAAGAUAUUCCAACGCCAGACCCACAAGAAGGCCCUCAGCAGCUGUGUGGUGGAUGAAGAGCAGGAUGUAGAAAGGCACUUCUCGCUUGGGGAGCUGAAGGAGCUCUUCACAUUGAAUGAGACCACCACCAGUGACACACAUGACAAGAUCAAGUGUCGUCGCUGUGUGAAUGGCCACCAGGUACGGCCCCCUCCUGAAGGGUCCGACUGUACCUCUGACCUCUCCCAGUGGAACCACUGUGCCGAUAAGCGGGGGCUGCAAGACUCCGUACUGAAGGCUGCAUGGGAUGCUGCUGUCACCUUCACCUUUCAUCAUCACUCCCAUGAGGAGCAGCGAGGGAUUCCCUAACAAACAGGUUACUGUCCCCUGUGGGGGCAAGGGCAGACUGCUGUGGCAGUCCACCCCACUUUAAUCGCUUUCAAGGAAAGGGGCAGUCAGUAGCAGUACAUGCUGGGUGGUUGUGUGGCUGUGAAAUGGUUUCCGAGAGGCUGGAAGGCCCCUAGCAUUGGUCAGUCUACUGCAACAGCAAGGAGUCCAUGGCUUUUUCUCUGCUGUUGUAUUGUGUACCUGAAAAACAGCCCUUUGGGCCCUGGGAAUAACUGGACCUUGUGCACUUGAUGAGAUUCAGCACUGGUUCUCGUGCUGUUGGUGUCUGUACCUUCUACUCAGCCAAGUUUUUCUUCAGGUUUAAGUUAAGCCUGCAGUUUUAUAGCACUAGAUGUGCACAGUUGUGUUUUUUCCUUGACAGCUCUGGCUAACAGCUGCAGAUCAGAAACUUGCAGGAUCCAUUUCUGUUGUGAAAUGUGAACCUUGCUGAUUACUCAGGAACAAGAGGAUUUGUACAACGGAAAAAAGUUUCAGCUUGUAUGAACAUCUGGCCUGAAAGAUCAUGCAGGCAGUAGGAAAUCAGGCUCUAUUAAGACAGCUCCAGCCCCUAAUCCAUAUGCAAGAACAAAGCCUCCCCAGCAGUGGAUUGCAUACAACAGCACUGCCGCUCUGUCACAGGAAGAG